rnacentral:lncRNA from 1 species
GCUCAUCCUGGCUCAAAAGCUCUCCCACUGAGUACCUUGUGACCCCCCACUCCUGCCCGCCAGAGAACAACCCCCCUUUUUCCUUUACCUACCCAAAUCCUAUAAAACGGCCCCACCCCUAUCUCCCUUUGCUGACUCUCUUUUCAGACUCAGCCCGCCUGCGCCCAGGUGAUUAAAAGGUUUACUGCUCACACAAAGCCUGUUUGGUGGUCUCUUCACAUG